rnacentral:misc_RNA from 1 species
AAGUCGUAACAAGGUCUCCGUUGGUGAACCAGCGGAGGGAUCAUUAGCGAGUUCUAAACUCCAACCCUCGUGGACAUACCUAUCGUUGCUUCGGCGGGGCCCCCUUGCAGGGGGGCAGCAGGGCCCGCCCCUGCGCCCGCCGGUGGCACGCCAACCAAAACCUGAAUCACAGUCGCAUUCUGAGUGGACUACAAAUAAGUCAAAACUUUCAGCAACGGAUCUCUUGGUUCUG